CAGCAGUCACAGAGGUUGCACUUGCUACAAAGCUGCAAGAAGGCUGGCACUGCUUGCCAAAGUCUUUCUUCCUAAGGACCCUGCCCUCUCGCUUCAGGAUCUGCAGGUAUCAAGCAGGAAAAAUUUUCAAGAAGUUCAUCAUUAGCAAGCCUCUUAAUAGUAUCUGCUGCUCAAUGGCCUGAUCCUCACACAGCCCAGCUCCUGGCCAGGGAGAUGCCUGCAGCUCAGGAUGGAACCUGAUGGGUGAAGGUCCCUAUGUAGAUUUAAACCCAACCUAUCCCUGCCUCAUCUGAGGACCUGUCUACCUCUAGGCUGGCCAAGGCUGAAUGUCUGAUUCAUUUGGCAGCUACAAGCUAGCUGCAAACCAUGACAAAGUACAGCAUGUUGAGUAAACUACAUUGAAAUUUUCA